GGGCACCUCCGCUCCAUCUUCGCCGCUCUCUGGGAAGAAAAAGAAAAAAGAACGAGAGAAAAAAAAGAGGAGAGAGAAAGAGGAAAGAGAAAAAGGUAUAAGAGUAUUUUGGUCAGUUUGCUAAAAAAGCGGACCGAAUCUGCAAAAACCAAAAAAAUGGCCCGAUUUUGCAAAAGCCCAAAAUAAGUGAAUUUUUUAUGCAAAUUGGCCUAAAAUUUUCUAUAAAAUUAUUUUUAGUUAUGCUUUUAUUAUAUAUAUAUAUAUAUAUUACCAAGAUUCGAACUCAUCUUUUUUUCUGGAUCUCAGUUAAAAUUUUACUCGUGUGAAUGAUACAAUUGCUGAUUUUCACCUCUAAUAACUCUAAUAUCUUCGUGGUAAUACAAACUAUGAACUAUAAAUUUAAUUGAUUGAUAGUAAAAGAAAAUUGGAGGGAGUCUAAAAUUGAAAAAAAGAGUUUAAAAUAUACUAGUUAUCUCGCUAACGUAGAGUCUUGGACCUAUAGGAUCGUCUCCUUUAGGUUUAUCCAUACUAUCAUGAUUAAAUAACAAAUAAUUUUAACUCAAAAAAAUAUAAUUGAUUUAUUACUGAUGAUGUAGUAUAGGUGUGACGCAAUAGACAUUCUUUUAAAAUUGAUCAUAAAACACACGUGUCAUAACCGACAUGGUGAGAACCAUGUUCAGGUUUUGGUCCGGGUAGGAUCCAGUGCGUACCCAUAAAAAUGUAAAUGUGUUCUACUUGUUGUUAUCGACCCAUCCCACAUCGGUCCCGGUUGGGAUCAGGACGGGAUUAGGGGUGACAAUCCAGCUCGCUGUUCGUGAGCCAGCUCGUGUUCGGCUCGAAAUGAGCUUGAGAUCGAAUCGCUCGUUUAGUAAACGAGCCGAACACGCUGGGUUAGCUCGUGCUUCGGCUGUCGAUAACAGCUCGAAUACAUAUAUUUUUAUUAUUUAAUAAUUUUAUAUUUUUAUAUAAAAUAUAAUAUAUAUAAAUAUGUAUUUCUAUUAUUUAAUUUUAGCAAAAGAAAAAUAUAAUACAAGCUAUUAUAAAAAGACUCAUUUAUAUGUAAAGUUUCAACUGAUUAGCAUUAAAGGUUGUUCAUGAAAUAAAAUUUUUAUAAAAUUAUUUGUUUAUAUAUAUUACAAUUUAAGUUUUAUUUAUUUUCAUGCCGCUCGUUUCGGCCCGCGAACUACGAGCUGAAUUCUUCGACUCUCGAUCCUUUGAGAAGCGGGGCUCGCUUCGGCGCCGUUGGUAACCCAUAGACGGACUGAUAGAAUCGGAUCGAGAUUUAAACGGCGUAACGCACGGGGGUCGCUUCUAUCAAUUUCCCGUAUAAAUAUGAGUUGCGGCAGAAACCUCGGCACCUUUCUGUCGCCGCCUCUCGCUUUUUUGAAACCUAUUCUUCGAUACUUCGAAAACCGUAGCUUCUGGUCCCAAUUUGUUUUUUUUCUUGGGCAGACGCGUAAUAUCCCAACAAACCCAGUAUACAUCUCUUAACUCGAAGGUGAGCUUUGACCGUCUUAGUGUUUUUUUUNNNNNNNNNNNNNNNNNNNNNNNNNNNNNNNNNNNNNNNNNNNNNNNNNNNNNNNNNNNNNNNNNNNNNNNNNNNNNNNNNNNNNNNNNNNNNNNNNNNNNNNNNNNNNNNNNNNNNNNNNNNNNNNNNNNNNNNNGCCGAGCCCACGUCUCCGUCGCCGUCGCCGAGCCCACGUCCCACCCCUACCGUCCCACGUCCUACCCCCUCCACGACAGAGCAGGAGCACCGCAAGCGCGUGCUCCGCGAGCUCAACUCCCUUAUCUCCAGGGGCAGGCCCUCUUCUCUGGCGCGGGGCCGGGUCAGCGGCGGGGCCGGUGCACGCAGCGGCGGCGGGCGGGCACGCAGGCUUCGUAAUGAUAUAAUGGUGCACCAUUACAUCAUUAACCAUUAAUGGUGUAAUGGUGUAAUUACACUAUUAAUGGUGUAAUUACACUAUUAAUGGUUACACCAUUAAUUACACCAUUACACCAUUAAUGGUGUAAUGGUGGUGUAAUGGUGCACCAUUACACCGUUUUCUUUUUUUUUCGCCGACACCAUCCGCCGCAGCCCCUGGGACGUCCACGUCGUCGUCCUUUCGACGACGACGAUGCACGCCUCCUCCGCCACCUCAUCCGCCGUCGCGGUCGUCGUCGCUGUCAGCGGCGCGGCGGAGGAAGAGGCUGCGGAGUUCGUCGGCGGCGACGGCGGCUGGAGCGGAGCGAACCGGAGUGGCGCCCGGCCGACGCCGUCUACGCGUCUGGCAUCGGCCUGCUGCACUCGGCCAUCGCGCAGGGCCGGGUGGACCUCAUCCAGCUGCUGCUGGAGUUCGGCGCCGACGUCGAGCCCCCAGGCCGCGGGCCGACGACGCCGCUCGAGGCGUCGGCACCGGCGGGGGAGGCACUGAUCGCGGAGCUGCUCCUGGCGCGGGGCACGCAGCCGCGGCGCGGGGCAGGGUCGACGACGGGGCCGAUGCACGCGGUGGCGGCGGGCGGGCACGCGAGCGCGCUGCGGCUGCUUCUUCUUCUUCUUCAUGGUGUAAUGGUGCACCAUUACACCAUUAAUGGUGUAAUGGUGCACCAUUGCCCCCUUCCCUCCCCUCACGUGCGGCACGCACGGGGCCCACUCCAUCCUCGUCACCCUCUCCCACCACCUCCCCACGGCGCGCGGGGGCAAGCUCGGGGGCGCAGCUGUAGCGGCGGAGGAGCGGCGCGGGGAGGAGCAGGAACUUGGCGAGGAGGAUGGAGUAGCGGUCGCGGCGCGUGCCGUAGACCUACUCGCGGCGCGCGGGGUCGAGGUCGUGGACGUGGCCGAAAAAGCCGACGAGGGGCGGCGCGGGGCCGGAGCCGGAGGAAGAAGAAGAAGAAGAAAGGGGGAAAAAAAAAAGUGCUCCAGCAGGAGGAAGAAGAAGAAGAAGAAAAAGAAAAAGAGAAAAAAAAAUUGCUCCUGCAGGAAGAAGAAGAGCCCGCCUGGCGGUGCUCCGGCGGCGCGCCCGCCUGGCCUUCGCUUUUUUUUUUCGGCGAAAAAAAAAAAGAACGAGAGAACGAAGAGGAGAGAGAAAGAGGCAAGAGAAAAAGUAAUAAGGGUAUUUUGGUCAGUUUGCUGAAAAAGCGGACCGAAUUUGCAAAAACGAAAAAGGUGACCAGAUUUUGCAAAAGCACAAAAUAAGUGGAUUUUUUAUGCAAAAAGGCCAUAUAUAAUUAUAUAUAAUAUGUAUUUCUAUUAUUUAAUUUUUAGCAAAAGAAAAAUAUAAAUACAAGCUUAAUUAUAAAAAGACUCAUUUAUAUGUAAAGUUUCAACUAUUACAUUAAAGUUUAAUGAAUAAAAUUUUAUAAAUUUAUUUUUUAUAUAUAUUCAAUCUAAGUUUAAUUUAUUGUUCAUUGGCCAGCUCGUGUUCGGCCAACACGAGCUGAAUUUUUCGACUCGAUCCUUUGACAAGCCGGCUCGUGUCUGGCUCGUUUACACCCCUAGAC
rnacentral:lncRNA from 1 species